AACGGGCCUGGACACGGGGACAGAACAGCCAGGACAUCACAUAAAAGACACAUGGAGACUUGCCCCUAAUCUGCCUAAAUACAAGAGAAUUUGGGUCUCCGUGUCCAGCGUCUGACACGGAUCCCGGAGCUGCCCCAUGGACCUGUCAUACUGGAAUCACCAUCUUACUGAAAUAAGGUGCGGUUCACCCCGGAGCUCAGAGAAGAGGAUGGUGGCAAGAGAAACUCAGGUCUCUCUGAAACCAGACAGACCUGAGUUCGAAUCCUAGCUCUGCCAUGCGCACAUUGGUAACAGGUGACCUUAUCACCCCCACUUCAUAGAUGGGAAGGCCACAGCUCAGGAGGUGCAGAAGCGCAGGUGACAGAACUUAAACUCAGGCCUUCUGGGUGCAUAAAACUCCGUGAGUACUCGCUACACAGCACCGGUGCAGUCACACUGAACUGAACACAGCUGGAAUGUGAGGGGACUCAAAAGGUGAACCCCCAGUUCCUCUCCUGAAUUUAGAGUCCACUCUGAGAUGUGUGCAUGGGGCACUGGAUGGCAAGCAGAAGGCCGGGUCUAUCCAUUCAAUCCGCAAAGAUCUGUGGAACAUCUACUACUGUAUGUGGCAGUGCCCUGCACUAGCACUAAAAAUUGCAGUGAAAAAAGCAGACAAAACCCUCGUCACAUUGACUGGUCAUUCUAGUGGGGGAGACACAAUAAACGAGAUGAAUGAAAUAAGCCAUGUGUGAAGAGGAAGUCCUCAAAAGCGAAGCAAAGCAGGAAGAGGAAAUACAAAGUGUUGGAAGGGCUUGCGAUCUUAAGAACUUGUGAUACCACCUAAGACCUGACAUGAGUAAGUACGGCUAUGCCCUCCAUUGAAGGAACAGCACAUACAAGGGCCCUGAGGCAGGAUCAUCCCUGGGUAUCCAGAAUAGGUAUAGCCAGUUAAAGGGAGUGGGAAAUAUUGGAGUCAGAUUGGACCCAUCCAAUUUAAAUUGGCCCUAGAGAGGACCAGGACUCAGAUCUGAGAGUUCCUUGGGGCUCAGCAACCAUGACUUAUAAUCGGGUGAGGCGGGAAGCGAGGGAGGUGACGUGGUGUUACAAAGAAAGCUGCCUGGAAGAGGUGGAUUUAGCCAACAGGCUUUCAGGGACCCCACCCUUGGCUUAGACAUAUCCAGUUUCUGCCAAUGCCGGGCAACCACAGACCUCCCAGAGCGGCAAGCCUCAGAGGCUACCAGGAAUCAGAGAACCACCCAGGACACAGCUCCUUUCCAGACAUCCUGAGCUAAUAGCAGAGGCUGUGUCCAGAAGGGGUCAAGCUGAGCAUGCUCAGUGCCUCUGCGCAUCAGGUCCUGGACAGGAUCAGGGAGAGACCUGGGUAUUGCUGUUGCCCUGGUUGGCACCGUUUUUCAUCACUCACUGCAAAUGAGUUUGGUUAUAAAAGGCAGGAAACGUGUCUGGCUGGGCAUGUGAUGGGGAAAAUGUUUGUCUCGGGCUAGACGUGUGCGGGCUUUGAUUCUUGACUGUGCCUGUGCCAUCAGCAAGGCUCUCAACAGAUAAGUAACCCUUGUGUCUGUGGAGUGUACAUUCUGCGCUUUCCACUGGGACAAGCGGGAAACUGAAGCCCUCACUCUCAAAGAAAAGUGACGGAGGCAAGAUCUGAACCCAGACCCACCUCACUCCACAGCCAGGGGAUCUCCCCUAUCCCCACCCAGAAACCCGGGGUAGCAUCAGUCUCUCAGCUCAGCCUGCUGCAUCCCCUGUACUUGGAAUUGUGUGGGGAAAUUUGCCAGAUGGAAGGUGUGUAGUAUUACCAGAUAAUAAGGCGUGUACAUUCUAUCACAAUAAAAGUAUAAAUACAAUAGUCAUAAUGAUAGUGGGAGAGUUGACUACACGCCAGGCCCUGAGCCAAGCCUGCGCAUCUCGGGCCUGACACCUGGGGCACCAUCUCCCCUCCUGUCCAAGUUUAAAAUCUGCAACUCUCAGUUAUUUCUCAG